GCAUAUCAAUAAGCGGAGGAAAAGAAACCAACAGGGAUUGCCCUAGUAACGGCGAGUGAAGCGGCAACAGCUCAAAUUUGAAAUCUGGCCCCUUUGGGGUCCGAGUUGUAAUUUGCAGAGGGUGCUUUGGCGUUGGCGGCGGUCUAAGUUCCUUGGAACAGGACAUCGCAGAGGGUGAGAAUCCCGUAUGUGGUCGCAUGCCUUCGCCGUGUAAAGCCCCUUCGACGAGUCGAGUUGUUUGGGAAUGCAGCUCUAAAUGGGAGGUAAAUUUCUUCUAAAGCUAAAUACCGGCCAGAGACCGAUAGCGCACAAGUAGAGUGAUCGAAAGAUGAAAAGCACUUUGGAAAGAGAGUCAAACAGCACGUGAAAUUGUUGAAAGGGAAGCGCUUGCAGCCAGACUUGCCUGUAGUUGCUCACCCGGGCUCCUGCCCGGGGCACUCUUCUGCAGGCAGGCCAGCAUCAGUUUGGGCGGUCGGAUAAAGGGCUCUGACACGUACUUCCCCUCGGGGUUGACAUACAGGGGAGCCGCAAUGCGACCAGCCCGGACUGAGGUCCGCGCAUCUGCUAGGAUGCUGGCGUAAUGGCUGUAAGCGGCCCGUCUUGAAACACGGACCAAGGAGUCUAACAUCUAUGCGAGUGUUUGGGUGUCAAGCCCGAGCGCGCAAUGAAAGUGAACGGAGGUGGGAGCCCCUCGGGGUGCACCAUCGACCGAUCCUGAUGUCUUCGGAUGGAUUUGAGUAAGAGCAUAGCUGUUGGGACCCGAAAGAUGGUGAACUAUGCUUGAAUAGGGUGAAGCCAGAGGAAACUCUGGUGGAGGCUCGCAGCGGUUCUGACGUGCAAAUCGAUCGUCAAAUUUGGGCAUAGGGGCGAAAGACUAAUCGAACUAUCUAGUAGCUGG
rnacentral:rRNA from 1 species